UGAACGCUGACGGCGUGCCUAAUACAUGCACGUCGAGCGAACGGACGAGAAGCUUGCUUCUCUGAUGUUAGCGGCGGACGGGUGAGUAACACGUGGAUAACCUACCUAUAAGACUGGGAUAACUUCGGGAAACCGGAGCUAAUACCGGAUAAUAUUUUGAACCGCAUGGUUCAAAAGUGAAAGACGGUCUUGCUGUCACUUAUAGAUGGAUCCGCGCUGCAUUAGCUAGUUGGUAAGGUAACGGCUUACCAAGGCAACGAUGCAUAGCCGACCUGAGAGGGUGAUCGGCCACACUGGAACUGAGACACGGUCCAGACUCCUACGGGAGGCAGCAGUAGGGAAUCUUCCGCAAUGGGCGAAAGCCUGACGGAGCAACGCCGCGUGAGUGAUGAAGGUCUUCGGAUCGUAAAACUCUGUUAUUAGGGAAGAACAUAUGUGUAAGUAACUGUGCACAUCUUGACGGUACCUAAUCAGAAAGCCACGGCUAACUACGUG
rnacentral:rRNA from 1 species